UACGUAGGUGGCAAGCGUUGUCCGGAUUUACUGGGCGUAAAGAGCGCGCAGGCGGUCGUUCAAGUCGCGUGUGAAAGCCCCCGGCUCAACUGGGGAGGGUCACGCGAUACUGAUCGACUCGAAGGCAGGAGAGGGUAGUGGAAUUCCUGGUGUAGCGGUGAAAUGCGCAGAUAUCAGGAGGAACACCGGUGGCGAAGGCGGCUUUCUGGGCCUUACCUGACGCUGAGGAGCGAAAGCUGGGGGAGCGAACAGG
rnacentral:rRNA from 1 species